rnacentral:rRNA from 1 species
UGGCUAUUCCGAAGGGCAUGCCUGUUUGAGUAUCAUGAACACCUCAACUCUCAUGGUUUGCCAUGUUGAGCUUGGACCGUUGGGGGGUUUUGCCGGCUUGCCGUCGGCUCCUCUCAAAUGAAUCAGCUUGCCAGUGUUUGGUGGCGUCACGGGUGUGAUAACUAUCUACGCUUGUGGUUUUCUGCCAUGUAGCCUUCAGUGAUGGAGGCUCGCUGGAGCUCAUAGAUGUCUCUCCUCAGCAAAGACAGUUUUUGUGAACGUUUGAUCUCAAAUCAGGUAGGACUACCCGCUGAACUUAAGCAUAUCAAUAAGCGGAGG